UACAGAGGGUGCAAGCGUUGUUCGGAAUUACUGGGCGUAAAGCGUGCGUAGUCGGUAUUGAGAGUCGCGGGUGAAAUCCCAGGGCUUAACCCUGGAACUGCCUGCGAGACCUCAGUACUAGAGUGUGAGAGGGGAUAGUGGAAUACCCAGUGUAGCGGUGAAAUGCGUAGAGAUUGGGUGGAACACCGGUGGCGAAGGCGGCUAUCUGGCUCACAACUGACGAUCAGGCACGAAAGCGUGGGGAGCAAAC
rnacentral:rRNA from 1 species